AGAGAUAAGUGCUGAAAGCAUCUAAGCACGAAACUUGCCCCGAGAUGAGUUCUCCCUGACCCUUUAAGGGUCCUGAAGGAACGUUGAAGACGACGACGUUGAUAGGCCGGGUGUGUAAGCGCAGCGAUGCGUUGAGCUAACCGGUACUAAUGAACCGUGAGGCUUAACCUUACAACGCCGAAGGUGUUU
rnacentral:rRNA from 1 species